rnacentral:rRNA from 1 species
AUUGAACGCUGGCGGCAGGCCUAACACAUGCAAGUCGAGCGAGCGGCGGGCGGGUGAGUAAUGUAUGGGGACUGCCUGAUAGAGGGGGAUAACUACUGGAAACGGUGGCUAAUACCGCAUACUAUCGGAUAACCCAUAUGGGAUUAGCUAGUAGGUGGGGUAAUGGCUCACCUAGGCGACGAUCGCUAGCUGGUCUGAGAGGAUGAUCAGCCACACUGGAACUGAGACACGGCCCAGACUCCUACGGAGGCAGCAGUGGGUAAUAUUGCACAAUGGGCGCAAGCCUGAUGCAGCCAUGCCGCGUGUGUGAAGAAGGCCUUAGGGUUGUAAAGCACUUUCAGCGGGGAGGCGUUACCCGCAGAAGAAGCACCGGCUAACUCCGUGCCAGCAGCCGCGGUAAUUC